AUUGAACGCUGGCGGCAGGCCUAACACAUGCAAGUCGAGCGGAUGAAGGGAGCUUGCUCCUGGAUUCAGCGGCGGACGUGUGAGUAAUGCCUAGGAAUCUGCCUGGUAGUGGGGGAUAACGUCCGGAAACGGGCGCUAAUACCGCAUACGUCUUGAGGGAGAUAGUGGGGGAUCUUCGGACCUCACGCUAUCAGAUGAGCCUAGGUCGGAUUAGCUAGUUGGUGGGGUAAAGGCCUACCAAGGCGACGAUCCGUAACUGGUCUGAGAGGAUGAUCAGUCACACUAGAACUGAGACACGGUCCAGACUCCUACGGGAGGCAGCAGUGGGGAAUAGUGGACAAUGGGCGAAAGCCUGAUCCAGCCAUGCCGCGUGUGUGAAGAAGGUCUUCUGAUUGUAAAGCACUUUAAGUUGGGAGGAAGGGCAGUAAGUUAAUACCUUGCUGUUUUGACGUUACCAACAGAAUAAGCACCGGCUAACUUCGUG
rnacentral:rRNA from 1 species